UCAGAAUGCCACGGUGAAUACGUUCCCGGGCCUUGUACACACCGCCCGUCACACCAUGGGAGUGGGUUGCAAAAGAAGUAGGUAGCUUAACCUUCGGGAGGGCGCUUACCACUUUGUGAUUCAUGACUGGGGUGAAGUCGUAACAAGGUAACCGUAGGGGAACCUGCGGUUGGAUCACCUCCUUA
rnacentral:rRNA from 3 species